GUACGUCAAGACUAGAGAUUUUCGCACUAUCCAGAAACACUUGGUGGCUCAAUGUGGUUCAAAGGGCUUCCCCUUUAACAGUGUUCCACUGAUCCUACAUUAGAUAUGUCUUUAUCCUCUUUAUGGCGGUGAAUAGCCCUGGAUGAAAGACAGGCUGAGUUGAGAUCUGAGUCCCACAGGCGAGUCAGAUACACUCACAUACAAACACACAACGAUCUGUGACCAGUGCCUUUGGGCGAUUCCUACACAGAGAGCUGCUGGAUUGUUGAAUAGAGACCAGGCUGACAUGAUGCAAGCUGAAAGCGAUGGGGAGCGGCAAGCCGAGAUGAGAGACGCUGUGUCAACUCUGCUCCACCCUGUCGGUUCUUGGAGUGCGUGCUGGUUAACCACCUCUGACGUCUUGACUAAACAUUAUCACUCACAGCCAGUCAUUUGUCACCAUUAGCAACGGUCCUCAGGUACCCUAACUCAUUACACUGUGAUCACGUGACAUGGUGCCCGUCACUGAGAUGAGUGCAAAGCAAAGAGAAGAAGUCUGUCCAUCACCCUCCGUCUACCACACCCCUCUUGUACUGUUUUUGUGGCUGCUCUUCAAGUAGAGGAAGGGUCAGAUGUACGGAUUAAGAAGAAAAGGCUUGUGACCCAGUUGCUUUUCAAAGAGCACCAAACCAAAAAGGGCCGUAUGGAGGCUGGCUUCCAUUCAGUGUCAGCACUUCUGCUGUGCUGUGCGAAACACUUGAAGCUUAUGUUUAUUGUUCUUAAGACUAUAAUUAGCAGGGUUGGCUUAUGGUGUUAAAAUGCUUCCCUGACUUACCGACUGAU